GCAGCAGUGGGGAAUUUUGAACAAUGGGGGAAACCCUGAUCUAGCCAUCCGGCGUGUGGGAUGAAGGCUUUCGGUUUUUAAAGCACUUUUGGCAGGAAGGAAACGGCGUGGGUUAAUACCUUGUGAAAAUGACGGUACCUGCAGAGUAAGCACCGGCUAAUUACGUGCCACCACCCGCGGUAUUAUGUAGGGGGCAAGCGUUAUUUGGAAUUAUUGGGGGUAAAGCGUGCGCGGGGGUUUUGGAAAGAAAGAUGUGAAAUCCCAGAGUUUAACUUUGGAACUCCAUUUUUAACUACCGAGCUAGAGUGUGUCAGAGGGGGGUGGAAUUCCGGGUGUAGCAGUGAAAUGGGUAGAUUUGGGGAGGAACACCGAUGGGGAGGGCACCCUCUUGGGAUAACAUUGACGCUCAUGCACGAAAGCGUGGGGAGCAAACAGGAUUAGAUACCCUGGUAUUCCACGCCCUAAACGACGUCAAUUAGCUGUUGGGGCUUUCGGGCCUUGGUAGCGCAACUAACGCGUGAAGUUGACCGCCUGGGGAGUACGGUCGCAAGAUUAAAACUCAAAG
rnacentral:rRNA from 1 species